AGCGAACGCUGGCGGCAGGCCUAACACAUGCAAGUCGAACGAACCUUUCGGGGUUAGUGGCGGACGGGUGAGUAACACGUGGGAACGUGCCUUUAGGUUCGGAAUAACUCAGGGAAACUUGUGCUAAUACCGAAUGUGCCCUUCGGGGGAAAGAUUUAUCGCCUUUAGAGCGGCCCGCGUCUGAUUAGCUAGUUGGUUGAGGCAAUGGCUCACCAAGGCGACGAUCAGUAGCUGGUCUGAGAGGAUGAUCAGCCACAUUGGGACUGAGACACGGCCCAAACUCCUACGGGAGGAAGCAGUGGGGAAUCUUGCGCAAUGGGCGAAAGCCUGACGCAGCCAUGCCGCGUGAAUGAUGAAGGUCUUAGGAUUGUAAAAUUCUUUCACCGGGGACGAUAAUGACGGUACCCGGAGAAGAAGCCCCGGCUAACUUCGUG
rnacentral:rRNA from 1 species